rnacentral:rRNA from 1 species
AGGACGAACGCUGGCGGCGUGCCUAAAACAUGCAAGUCGAACGGGGGAGCAAUCCCUAGUGGCGAACGGCGGAGUAAUACAUGAGAAACGUGCCCUGAAGCCUGGGAUAGUCAUUGGAAACGAUGGGUAAUACCAGAUGUGGCGGACAAUCGGCAUCGAUAGUCCACUAAACGGUUUUUCGCUUCAGGAGCGUCUCAUGGCCUAUCAGGUAGUUGGUGAGGUAACGGCUCACCAAGCCGACGACGGGUAGCGGGUCUCAGAGGAUGAUCCGCUCGAGUGGGACUGAGACACGGCCCACACACCUACGGGUGGCAGCAGUUGGGAAUCUUGCACAAUGGGGGAAACCCUGAUGCAGCGACGCCGCGUGGAGGAUGAAGGGUCUAGGCCUGUAAACUCCUUUUAUCGGGAAAGACUUAGGACGGUACCCGAUGAAUAAGGACCGGCUAACUACGUGCCAGCAGCCGC